rnacentral:miRNA from 1 species
ACAAAUUCUGAAACGCUGCAGA